AAUUUUAUAGUUUAAUAAGAAUACCAAAUUGCAAGUUUGAAGGUACAAUAAAAGUUAAAAUUU
rnacentral:tRNA from 1 species